rnacentral:misc_RNA from 1 species
AGCGUGGGGUAGCAGCCUGGG